rnacentral:rRNA from 1 species
GAUGAACGCUGGCGGCGCGCCUAAUACAUGCAAGUCGAGCGAAUGGAUUAAGAGCUUGCUCUUAUGAAGUUAGCGGCGGACGGGUGAGUAACACGUGGGUAACCUGCCCAUAAGACUGGGAUAACUCCGGGAAACCGGGGCUAAUACCGGAUAACAUUUUGAACCGCAUGGUUCGAAAUUGAAAGGCGGCUUCGGCUGUCACUUAUGGAUGGACCCGCGUCGGAUUAGCUAGUUGGUGAGGUAACGGCUCACCAAGGCAACGGUGCGUAGCCGACCUGAGAGGGUGAUCGGCCACACUGGGACUGAGACACGGCCCAGACUCCUACGGGAGGCAGCAGUAGGGAAUCUUCCGCAAUGGACGAAAGUCUGACGGAGCAACGCCGCGUGAGUGAUGAAGGCUUUCGGGUCGUAAAACUCUGUUGUUAGGGAAGAACAAGUGCUAGUUGAAUAAGCUGGCACCUUGACGGUACCUAACCAGAAAGCCACGGCUAACUACGUGCCAGCAGCCGCCGUAA